CUUUUGUAAAGCGCUGAUCAAAUUGUUGGCGCUAUAUAAAUCCUGUAUAAUAAUAAUAAUGAUACACAAAAUAGAAAAGGGUUUGGGA